rnacentral:rRNA from 1 species
CGAGCGGCAGCGGGNAGUAGCUUGCUACUUUGCCGGCGAGCGGCGGACGGGUGAGUAAUGUCUGGGAAACUGCCUGAUGGAGGGGGAUAACUACUGGAAACGGUAGCUAAUACCGCAUGACCUCGCAAGAGCAAAGUGGGGGACCUUCGGGCCUCACGCCAUCGGAUGUGCCCAGAUGGGAUUAGCUAGUAGGUGGGGUAAUGGCUCACCUAGGCGACGAUCCCUAGCUGGUCUGAGAGGAUGACCAGCCACACUGGAACUGAGACACGGUCCAGACUCCUACGGGAGGCAGCAGUGGGGAAUAUUGCACAAUGGGCGCAAGCCUGAUGCAGCCAUGCCGCGUGUGUGAAGAAGGCCUUAGGGUUGUAAAGCACUUUCAGCGAGGAGGAAGGGUUCAGUGUUAAUAGCACUGUGCAUUGACGUUACUCGCAGAAGAAGCACCGGCUAACUCCGUGCCAGCAGCCGCGGUAAUACGGAGGGUGCAAGCGUUAAUCGGAAUUACUGGGCGUAAAGCGCACGCAGGCGGUUUGUUAAGUCAGAUGUGAAAUCCCCGAGCUUAACUUGGGAACUGCAUUUGAAACUGGCAAGCUAGAGUCUUGUAGAGGGGGGUAGAAUUCCAGGUGUAGCGGUGAAAUGCGUAGAGAUCUGGAGGAAUACCGGUGGCGAAGGCGGCCCCCUGGACAAAGACUGACGCUCAGGUGCGAAAGCGUGGNGAGCAAACAGGAUUAGAUACCCUGGUAGUCCACGCUGUAAACGAUGUCGACUUGGAGGUUGUGCCCUUGAGGCGUGGCUUCCGGAGCUAACGCGUUAAGUCGACCGCCUGGGGAGUACGGCCGCAAGGUUAAAACUCAAAUGAAUUGACGGGGGGCCCGCACAAGCGG